rnacentral:rRNA from 1 species
UGGGGAAUAUUGGACAAUGGGGGGAACUCUGAUCCAGCCAUGCCGCGUGUGUGAAGAAGGCCUUAUGGUUGUAAAGCACUUUAAGCGAGGAGGAGGGUACUGGUAUUAAUACUACCAGGUACUGGACGUUACUCGCAGAAUAAGCACCGGCUAACUCUGUGCCAGCAGCCGCGGUAAUACAGAGGGUGCGAGCGUUAAUCGGAUUUACUGGGCGUAAAGCGUGCGUAGGCGGCUAAUUGAGUCUGAUGUGAAAUCCCCGGGCUUAAAUUGGGAAUUGCAUUCGAGACUGGUUAGCUAGAGUGUGGGAGAGGAUGGUAGAAUUCCAGGUGUAACGGUGAAAUGCGUAGAGAUAUGGGGGAAUACCGAUGGCGAAGGCAGCCAUCUGGCCUAACACUGACGCUGAGGUACGAAAGCAUGGGGAGCAAACAGG